rnacentral:rRNA from 1 species
UACGAAGGGGGGCUAGCGUUGUUCGGAUUUACUGGGCGUAAAGGGCGCGUAGGCGGAUUUUUAAGUCAGGGGUGAAAUCCCAAGGCUCAACCUUGGAACUGCCUUUGAUACUGGGAAUCUUGAGUCCGGGAGAGGUGAGUGGAACUGCGAGUGUAGAGGUGAAAUUCGUAGAUAUUCGCAAGAACACCAGUGGCGAAGGCGGCUCACUGGCCCGGAACUGACGCUGAGGCGCGAAAGCGUGGGGAGCAAACAGG